rnacentral:lncRNA from 1 species
AAAGCAAGUUUUUUCGGGUAUGAAUUUUUUGACUUCCGCGUGUUUUUUAAAAGCAGUAGCGAAAAGCAAUAGGGUUCUUAUUUUCAAUUCUUUCUUCAUAUAAGAUAUGAAAGUGUGUGCGCUAAUGUGUUUCGUGCAAUGCAAUUUAUGUGUGUGAUGUACUGUGUUUAUGUUUGUGUUUGUAUUUCGUAAGGGCAGAUUUUAUAAAUUAAAUGCAUCUCAUUGGAUUUUUUUCUGAUUUCUAUAAGCAGUUAGUAAUUCUGGAUUUUAGAUUCAUAAUUUGUUUUACCGUAUUUUAGAAAUUUUUUUACCGGAUUUUAGAGUGUUAGUGAUAGUCUUUUUAAGUGUUUUGCUGCAGUGAGGUGAUUCUAUUCCGUCGGUCACAUUCAUAUCCGUAGUAGGAUUGUUAAGUUGGCUUCCGUAUGAUGUCUUAUAGGUUCUUUAAUUGAUAGUCAAGUGUUUUGGUUAUGUCAUCUUAUGUUUUGUUACUACCCUACCCCUUUCCAACAUUACACAAACACACACUAUUUUCCUUCAAAUACUAUUAGUUAUAUUUUUUGUUGCUUUUCUUGCAGAUGAUAAUAUUGGCCGCUUUACCAAAAUUCUCCCCCAUAUAAGGUUAGUGGAUCAACCAUGCACUAUAUUUACGACUUUAUGUUCUUCCAAAAAUCAGGGUCUUAUAAUGAUUAUCGAUCGAUGGGAGCUUUAUGGUUUUUCAGGUCUCCGAAGGUUUUCAAAUUUCAAAUUAUUUGUAGUUAUUAUGAUUUCACUAUUAGCACCCGUGUGGGAACUAUCGAAUUCAAAAAACAAGUUCUUAUUUUUUUAUAGAAAUUUUAAUUAAGGGAAAGGAAAAACUUUUUUGUAUUCUUAGUGAGGUUUAUGCUCAUUAUACUAGAUUAUAUUGACAUUCAUCUGGAUAUGAGUUGGAUAUGAGUAAACUGCACCAUUUGUAAUUAUUGAUUACGAUGAAGCCUAUCAAAUAUAAAUGUGUUUAUAUAGGAAAUUUUGGGUACCAACAUCCCCUUAUUUGUGAGUUUCGAUUAUGUGGAAAUUUAAGUAUUACAGUGACAUAUAAAUGUGCUUAUGUAUGAAAUUUGGGAAACAACAACAUGUUACUCACAUAUUUCGAAUUAUGUGGCUAUUUAAGUGUUAUAUUGAUGCUUUAUUUAAUAAUUUAACUAUAUCUACCAUGCUUAUGUAUGUAUGUGUAUUUUUGUCAUUAUUUCAGUAUCAUAGUAUUUUAUAUAGAAUUUGAAGCAAUAGCUAGCAGAAGUCAUUCAGGCUUAUGAGCCUUAUGAGUUCCGGACUGAAGUUAUUAGGAAACAAAAAAGACGUGAAAAUGAAGCAAAUGAAGAGGAAAUAGUCCAUCUUCUGAUUAUGCCUUAUUGUAAUAAACUAUUUUAAGAGUUGGUCUAUAGUUAUGUCUUAUUUUUAAACUUAUUUUUUAAAUAUUUGGAUAAUGAGCUUAUAAGCUAUUGGUACGCAUUAUGAGAU